rnacentral:rRNA from 1 species
CCUACGGGAGGCAGCAGUGGGGAAUAUUGCACAAUGGGCGCAAGCCUGAUGCAGCCAUGCCGCGUGUGUGAAGAAGGCCUUCGGGUUGUAAAGCACUUUCAGCGAGGAGGAAGGUGGUGAGCUUAAUACGCUCAUCAAUUGACGUUACUCGCAGAAGAAGCACCGGCUAACUCCGUGCCAGCAGCCGCGGUAAUACGGAGGGUGCAAGCGUUAAUCGGAAUUACUGGGCGUAAAGCGCACGCAGGCGGUUUGUUAAGUCAGAUGUGAAAUCCCCGGGCUCAACCUGGGAACUGCAUUUGAAACUGGCAAGCUAGAGUCUCGUAGAGGGGGGUAGAAUUCCAGGUGUAGCGGUGAAAUGCGUAGAGAUCUGGAGGAAUACCGGUGGCGAAGGCGGCCCCCUGGACGAAGACUGACGCUCAGGUGCGAAAGCGUGGGGAGCA